UGAAGGCUCAAUAUGAUGCAAAAUGAGUAUAGGAAGGUACUUUGAAGAUUUGAGACCUUAAACUUGAGAUUUGGACCUUAAAUUCUAGUUUGAGGGGAGAGGUUGGAGUGAAAGUUGUAGAAUGGAGAAAAAUCUUCAAAAUGAAGACUUGGAUCACUUUAAAUAGCGUCCAAGUUCGGGACACGGUAGAAUUCUACUCGAUACCGGCGUUAGAUGGGGCUUUUGGUCGCACCCGGCCAAUUUGCGAUAACCCGAUAUGGUUGAUUCUAGAAAUGUUCCGAUCAUUAAUAUGAGACGUUAGAAUGAGUUCUAAGGGUAUUAAGACACUCAUUAAGUCAUAAAAUAAAAUAUACAUUAAUGACUUAAUAAAAUGCCGGAAUCGGAAACGAAAUCAGAAACGGUGAUUGGAUGAUCGGAACGAGUCGCGAGUAGGGUUACAUUUAGGGAUAUGAAUUUCGAGUUGUUACAUUAUCCCCCCGUUAGAGGGAAUUUCGUUCCGAAAUUCAAAGAUUCGAACAUAGAUCACGAAGUGAAAAGAGAUAUGAGAAUGAAUCUAUUGCUUCGAGUCUUCAAGCUCCUAAGUGGAAUCGGGUCUCCGCUUGACAUUCCAGCGAAACCUCACUGUCAGGAUGUGGCUUUGUUACGCAUGGUUAACCUCUGCAUCCACGAUCUCAAUUGAUUCAUCCAUGAAGGUUUGGAUUUUUAUCGGUUUUGUCCUCGUCAAGGGUGACUAAGGUUUUUGUCAGGUCGGCAAGCCUUACGAAUAAAUAUGCGGAAUAUCAGAUGGUUGCUACUGAGUCCUGAAGAUAGCUCGGAGAGGGCUAUGGAAUCAAUUCCUAACGAAUAUCUCGAAGGGUCUAAGGUUCCACAAGUUAAGUGUUCCGCACUUCUUAAGGCGUACUAUGUCUUUCUAGGGUAAAACCCCCCAACAAGUGGGUACAUUGUCACAUGGCAGAGUAACUAAGGGUCCGAUGGUUCUAAAGGAAACUUCUACAUGAGUCUACGAUUAUAGUCGAUGGGAUCCCAAGAAUCGACAGGUUUCCAUGGGUGUUCCCGGUGUCGACUAAUUCUUUAUUGCCUUUGCUUUUGGAAGGGUUUACGAGUAUGACUGCGUUUCUUAACUACAUGACCAAGAAAAUGAUUCGACCGAAGGGCCGCACUACUACUUCGUAGUGAUCGUAUCAUGCCCUGAUUGCUGCCUUGCACAUAUCGUGCUCAUUAAGGUUUGGCUAAGAGGAAAUUCCUGGGAUUUGUCGAUGCGAGACUGGAUUGCACAUUCAGAAAGAAUUACCAAGAAUUCUUUGGAAACAGUAUCGGGGAAGGAAUCGUAGACUUCUCAUUUCUCGAUGAUCACUCGGACUAGAAAUACAUGGAAAGACUUUUUUUAAGCUUUGAUGCACGAAGAUCAUGAGAGUCGGGUCGAAGGAAAGUUAGAACGAACGACUUUCUCGAAACUAGGAAUAACAGCGUAAAUGAGGCUCGGUCAUUACAUGCUAAGGGUGACAUCAAAGCAUCUCAUAAAAAGUUUGCCACUAGGUCGAUUGGAAAAAGAAUAUCGCUCGGAUAGAGAAUACAAUCUAUGGAUACGAGACAAGCGUUCUCGUUCUCACGUGAUAACCAUCUUGAAGAUAUACAUAUUUGGUUACUCGCAAACGACGGGGUUAGAAGAUGUUCAAAUGGAUGGUUAACAAAUUUCUUUCGGUGCUAGAAUCGAAAAGAAUCACAGGCAUAUAAAUUUAACAAGGGGAAAUAUACCUGUGGCAACGGUGGGAUCGGUGGCUGUCUCCUCUUGUCUUAUUGCUAGAACUCUUCCAGUGUUGCCAGGUGUUACAGCCUUGGGACAGUUUCGCUUAAGAUGCCCAACUUCUCCACAACCAUAGCAGGCCCGACCAAUGCCCGCUCCGGAAGAUUGACUCGUUGAUUGGGUUGGUGUCUUACAGUUUUUCGCCAUGUGACCCUUUAUGCCACAUUUGUUGCAAAUUAUCUCGAUACAUGGACCGGAAGGAAGAUGAUGAUAGUUGCACUUGCCACAACUAGGAAGGGUUCCAGUAUACCUAUUAGCAGGUUUUUGGGUUGAGGAUCCAUCAACAGAAACAGUUGCAAGGGAAGUGACAGCGUGAACUGCCACCGUUUGCUGUCUCUUCGAAGACUCGUGCGAUGCCUAACUUUUCUCUUUCUUCCCAAGUUUUCUUUUCUCACUACUCCUCACUGUCGGCUCAGGAGUGGUAGUUGCCUCCUCAAGGUCCUCAUUAUGAUCGAUUAGGAUCUGUGCUAAGUGUUUGGCGCUGUCAUAUGUAUCCGGCCUCGCGGCUAUAACAUUCCCUUUCGUUGGCUGGAUCAGUCCCCAGAUGAAUCUCUCUAUCUUCUUACUCUCCGGGGUAACCAUUCCCGGGCAGAGUAAUGCCAAGUUGUCGAACCUGGAAGUAUAAGCAAUGAUGUCGGAACCUUUCAUCUUUAGGUUCCAAAGUUCAUGUUCUAACUUCUGCAUUUCGCCCCGAUGGCAGUACUCAGCCAGCAAAAGUUCCUUCAUGGCUUCCCAACCCAUGGCGUUGGCUACAGGUAAGGUUAGGGAUUUGACUCGGCCGUUCCACCAAGUCAAGGCUUUGUCGAUAAAGGUGCAGGCGGCAAACUUCACCUUGUCUGAAUCUGAACAGGCGCAGAUUUCAAAGAUGGAUUCGAUCUUCUCGAACCAUCGGGUGAGGGAAAUGACACCUCCAGUGCCAUCAAAGGACGUGGGUUUGGCGUUCAUGAAAUCCUUAUAGGAAACCUUUUUCCGGCGUCCCUGACUGCUUUCUUGGUUUUGGGUUUGGGUAUCACCUCCCGAACCACCGGAACCGUCGGAGUUCCGUUGAGACAUGGCAGCUGCCAUCGCGGCUGUAACAGCUGCCUGGAAUACUACAAGGUCGAUUUGAGGUGGAGGUGGUGGCGGAGGGUUGUUGGUCUUGGAGCUGGGUCUCUUUCUUGGAGGCAUCUAGAUCUAAUAAGAUCAAGGAAGAGAGGAUGAUAAGUCCUCUGAAUUGAAUCAAGAGAUAUGACAGAUAUAUGCUGAAUAAGCGAUAAAUUAGGAUAGAGUUAUCAAGACAAGAAAAUUAUCGCUAAGAGAAUGAUCAAAGAACAAUGUAUGAACGAGGAUUUCUACCAAGUAUUUCAGGAUUCGUUACAACACUAGCUCGAUGUUUGUGGUAUUAGGGUAAGUUUUAGGCAUGCCACAUACCACAGUCACUCCCAAGCACAUGUUGGCCAUGUCUCGAAUGAACAUAGUUAGCUAGGCUAUAUUGAUCCUAGACACGACUACAUAACUGCACAGGUUUAAUCGCAACGUACAAGACCCAUUUACUUAUGUUUUGUUCUACUUGUAGUUACGGAUCUCGACGGGUCGGUAUACUUUUAUAUUUUCGAAAAUACUUAUAUUUUGAAGGAUACUUUUAGUUCAGAGCACUUAGGCCCCUUAAUGUUUAUAGUUUUAUACCAUGUAAGGUUUGGUAUACUUCAUUCACUAUAAACAAGGGCUCUGAUACCAAUCUGUCACACCCCGAAAACCGAAGGCGGAAACAUUUCCGGGGUUAACUCCACGUUGUGUAUCAAAUCCAAUGUACAUAGUAAGUAAAGUAAAUCAACCAUUACAUUACAUAUAUGAAAGUUAUACAUUUGUUUCAAAAGCAUAAGUUAUACAUGUGAUACAUAGUAUAUAUAAACAACACGAAACGAGUCUUCUGAGAACUCCGUCUUCGCACAAAAGGAUCGUUGGGUACCUGUCUAAUGUGAACAUGAGAAUACAAGCGGUUUGAAAAUCAGCAUAAAGCUGGUGAGUUCAUAAGCGGUUUUGUUUUGUAAAAAUGUACGAGUUCCCUUAGUUUUAUGAAAACGUGGUUAUCCAAGAAAAUCCCAUAUUUUCUUAUGUAGAGUUAGUUUCCAAAUCCGAAAGUAAAGUAAACAAUGUACAAUGAAAACGUGAUUGUUCUUGUGAAUUGUAGUUCAGUUAUUUAACUUAUUACACUUUUCUGAUUACAUACUACUGUUACUCAGGAAAAUACUGUAUUUUCCUAUAUGUAUGUGUGUGAGCUGUUACUGAUUCUGUUUAUACAAACUGUUACCGGUUCCGAUUAUGUUCAAUGUUGUCCCCGGGAAAACCCCAUUUUUUCCUGACUGUGUGUAUGAACUAUUAUCAAUUCUGAUUAUGUUCGAUGUUCUUCCCAGGAAAACCCCAUGUUUCCCUGACUAUGUGUGUGUAUCUUUACCGGUUCUGGUUAUAUUCAAUGUUCUUCUCAGGAAAACCCCAUGUUUUCCUAAAUGUGUGUGUACUGUUACCAAUCCUGUAUAUGCUAACUGUUACCGAUUCCGAAUACGUUCAAUGUUAUCCCCAGGAAAACCCCAUGUUCUCCUGACUGUGUGUAUGUGUGUGUGCCUGUCAUCCUUGAUCGUACAUUAGUUUUAUUACGUACAUAAAACUAAUAAAUACUCGUAAAGUGUUAAUAAUCCUGAUUGCGAGUCCUUAACCAUACUCAGACUGGAUAUGACUCGGACCAGGUCCAGUAUCCUUUUUAUGACUUUCGUCCCCCUUGAACCUUUCGGUUCGGUUGUGGCUAUCAGCCAAGUGUGGGAUUGUCAGUCCCGUAUAGAUCUAUACACUCAAGCCACGCUCUCCUACGUAUGGAGAUUCUGGUUACAGGGGCAGUCCUCCACUAUCUCGUGCCAUGGAAGUGUUACCUAGGACGUGUCUCCAAUAAUUAAGAUUCCUCUUUACUUUUCAACUAGGAAAGUAGUAUUUACAACUAGCUAUAUUCUACGUACCUGUCCUUUACACUCGAGUCCAGGUCUAGGACGUGUCUCCAAUAAUUAAGAUUCCUCUUUACUUUUCAACUAGGAAAGUAGUAUUUACAACUAGCUAUAUUCUACGUACCUGUCCUUUACACUCGAGUCCAGGUGUUUUAUUAAGGACAUUACACUCGAGCCUAGGUGUUAUCUAAUGAUGAUUAUCCUUUACACUCGAUCCUAGGUGUAUUAUUAAGGAUGUUACAAAUGAUAUAUGUGUUAUCUUAUGGUGAUUGUCCUUUACACUCGAUCCUAGGUGUAUUAUUAAGGACAUUACAAUUGAUUUGUGUGUCAUGAUGGUAUUUAUCUUUCACACUCGAGCCUAGGUGUAUUGUUAAGGACAUACAGAUAUUUUAUGUUUUCUGAUGGUGUCUGACUUUUACACUCGAACCUUAGUGUUUUGUUACAGACAUUACAAUGGUUUAUGUGUUCUAUCAGUUUAAGUGUGAACAAUCAAAUGUGAAGUAUACAUUAUAAUAAGAAUUGAAAAUCGGGUUAAAACAAACAACUCUGCAGGUCAAAAAUAGUUUGUUAAAAGGUUUUCAAUUCUUAAAAUAUACAAAUAUGAAACCAUUUAACUGAAAUCAUAAGUUUAAGUACAAGAUAUUCUUGUACUUUUGCUUGUAUUCCCCCCUGAAAACAUUGAAAAACCAUUGAAAAAGGGUAGGGGUAUGAACUCACCGGACGCGGAAAUGUGUCGGUUUCGGAUGCUAAACGUCGAAUCGAGGCCUGAUAACAUGCGAGGUUCCUAUGUAAACUGAAAUGGCAUACAAAUAUAUCUAAUUAGAUUCAUAAACUCUAAUUAGAUAUGAAGUUACACUCCAACGAACGAAAAUACCUUAAAACAGGUGUUUGGAGUGACCCAGGUGACAUCUACGGACGGGAAUUGAAGCGAGGGACUUGGGAUUUGAGUUUACUCCCCAAGAGUAAACUUCCUAAUGAGUUUUCAGCCUCGAAACACAUAACCACAUGAGUUUACGACCGUGAACUCAUGUCCGAGUGUUUUAUGGUGCUUAAUGGGUCAUAAAUGGCCAAUACCACUUGGAAAUGCUUGGAAUAAUUUUACCUAAGGCUUGGAAUGAAUUAAAAUCACCAAAUACAUCACUUAAGGGACUUUACGGCCUUGGCAUGGGGCCUAUGGCCGUAAACUCUCAUAUUCCCUUGAAUAGGUGUUUUUAAAGUCUCAAAGUUAAUCACAUGUGAUUCUAAAAAUUCCUACAAGCCUUGAAAUGAUUUUUGGGCACAAUUUGACAUCCUUUUUUUGGAGUUUACGGCCUUGGAGCACCUUCUAUGGCCGUGAACUCUCAAAUGAAGAGUUUUGAUGUGUUUAAGGUCCUUAAACUAUUUUUGGUUGGUUCUAUGAUUUAUUGCAAGGCUUUUGGUGGUGUUGGAUGGCUUUCUAACACCGUGAAAAUGAGUUUACACCCAUGUUUAAGGAGUUUACGGCCCAAGUACAUGCCUUGGCCAUAAACUCAUACAAACCCUUCAAAAUUUAUGUCUAAGGUGUUCUAGGUCCAUAACCAAUAUUCUAAAAGUCGUAUCUAAGUCUUGUUUGAGCCAAGGAAGGGUUUAAGGGCUUAAAAACCCAUUAAAUAUGGGUUUACGGCCUAAGCACCAUCCUGGGCCGUAAACUCAUAUGUAAGGCUGUAAAUCAUGGUUUGAGGCAUUCUAAUUCCAUUUCAUAAAGUCAUUUAGCCAUAUCCAAGGUCUAAUUGUGGUUUGGAAGGGUUUUGUUGCUCCAAAAACCCCAUUUAUAUGAGUUUACGGCCUAGGACUGUUCUAGGGCCGUAAACUCAUGGUAAUGGUCCUAAUCCAUGGUUUAAACUCGAAUUUGAAGGCUCAAUAUGAUGGAAAAUAAGUAUAGGAAGGUACCUUGAAGUUUAAAGACCUUAAACUUGAGAUUUGGACCUUAAAUUCUAGUUUGAGGAGAGAGGUUGGAGUGAAAGUUGUAGAAUGGAGCAAAAGCUUCAAAAUGAAGACUUGGAUCACUUUAAAUAGUGUCCAAGUUCGGGACACGGUAGAAUUCUACCCGAUACCGGCGUUAGACGGGGCUUUUGGUCGCACCCGACCAAUUUGCCAUAACCCGAUAUGGUUGAUUCUAGAAAUGUUCCGAUCAUUAAUAUGAGACGUUAGAAUGAGUUCUAAGGGUAUUAAGACACUCAUUAAUUC
rnacentral:lncRNA from 1 species